CUGUUUAUAAUUUAUUUAAAUUUUAAAAGGUGUAGCUACUUCUGUGCACAACUAAUGUGCCUUCACAUCUUUUCAGAAAGUUUUGAUGACACUGAUGUCAAAAGGAAGGAUUCCACAGGAGAAGCUGGAGGGAAUAAAGGUUUUCAACCAUCAUCCUUUGAGAAUGUUUUAAGCAUGUCAGGUUAUAUUCCCAGUUCUACGCAUGUCCCAGAGAGAUUUAUUUCUACAGAAAUGGUCAGUAGCAGCACACCACCAGCCUCCACGGUAAAAACAAUCACCACCUGGAAGACACCUGACUCUCAGAGAAGUGCUUCUGUACAACCUGUGGUUACUGGAAACAUUGCUCAUGCUCUAGGCACCAUCAGUGGUCACCUUGCUGAUGUGGCAAACAGUUCUUUGGUACAUGCUGUAAAGGUUGCAUCUUCAAGGAGCCAUGCUGUGUCACCUGAGAAGAAAACCAGGGCACAAGCUGAGGCCUUCAGCUAUGUAGAGAGCAGCAGGAAGACUUCCCCUGGCAGCAGAGCAAGUAUAAGCCAAGGACAUUCUUUGCCAAACAAAGCAUUCAGAGGUGGAAAUGCUCAAAGAGUUCUGCACCUAUUAGCUAAGCAUCAAGGGAGUAAUUUACCUUUUACCCUUGUGGAAGUCACUGUCCCACCAAAAAUGCUUCCUGAAGAAUUGAGUGAAACCAUGAUUCCUAAAGCAGUGACCUGUUCUGAUUUACCCUGUUUUCCUGGCGUCCCCUGUGAGCCAAGGCAGGAUGGAAGUGUCAAGUGUGGUCGUUGUCCUUAUGGUUAUUAUGGAGAUGGCUUCACUUGCAGAGCAAGAUGUAGACAACCCUGUGGAAAAAAUAUGGAGUGUGUGGCACCCAAUAUUUGUAAAUGCAAGCCUGGUUAUGCUGGUCAUAACUGUCAGGCUGGUGAGUAUGGCAUGUUAAUUUUGCCUGUGGUAACUCACAUGCACAAAUUAAUGAUUUGCAGAGUACCAUUGGUUUUUUUUUACAGCUCUAUGCAGACCUGA
rnacentral:lncRNA from 1 species